rnacentral:rRNA from 1 species
ACUCCUACGGGAGGCAGCAGUGGGGAAUAUUGCACAAUGGGCGCAAGCCUGAUGCAGCCAUGCCGCGUGUAUGAAGAAGGCCUUCGGGUUGUAAAGUACUUUUCAGCAGUGAGGAAGGUGGGUAUGUUAAUAGCAUAUUCAUUUGACGUUAGCUGCAGAAGAAGCACCGGCUAACUCCGUGCCAGCAGCCGCGGUAAUACGGAGGGUGCGAGCGUUAAUCGGAAUUACUGGGCGUAAAGCGCAUGCAGGUGGUUUGUUAAGUCAGAUGUGAAAGCCCGGGGCUCAACCUCGGAAUUGCAUUUGAAACUGGCAAACUAGAGUACUGUAGAGGGGGUAGAAUUUCAGGUGUAGCGGUGAAAUGCGUAGAGAUCUGAAGGAAUACCGGUAGGCGAAAGGCGGCCCCCUGGACAGAUACUGACACUCAGAUGCGAAAGCGUGGGGAAGCAAACAGGAUUAGAUACCCUGGUAGGCUCU